GUAGGUGGCAAGCGUUGUCCGGAAUUAUGGGGCGUAAAGCGCGCGCAGGCGGUCCUUUAAGUCUGAUGUGAAAGCCCACGGCUCAACCGUGGAGGGUCAUUGGAAACUGGGGGACUUGAGUACAGAAGAGGAAAGCGGAAUUCCAAGUGUAGCGGUGAAAUGCGUAGAGAUUUGGAGGAACACCAGUGGCGAAGGCGGCUUUCUGGUCUGUAACUGACGCUGAGGCGCGAAAGCGUGGGGAGCAAACAGGAUUAGAUACCCUGGUAGUCCACGCCGUAAACGAUGAGUGCUAAGUGUUAGGGGGUUUCCCGCCCCCCUUAGUGCUGCAGCUAACGCAUUAAGCACUCCGCCUGGGGAGUACGGCCGCAAGGCUG
rnacentral:rRNA from 1 species